UUCGCAAUGCCCGAAAGGGUGAACGAGCGACGCCGCGUGCGGGAUGAAGGCCUUCGGGUUGUAAACCGCUUUUGCAAGGGAAAAACUUAAUGAUGGUACCUUGCGAAUAAGAGGUUACUAACUCUGUGCCAGCAGUAGCGGUAAUACAGAGACCUCAAGCGUUAUCCGGAUUUAUUGGGCGUAAAGCGCGGGUAGGCGGAUGAGCAAGUCCAUUGUGAAAUCCCCCGGCUUAACCGGGGAACUGCAGUGGAUACUACUUGACUUGAGUGCAGAAGGGGAGAGUGGAAUACCUGGUGGAGCGGUGAAAUGCGUAGAUAUCAGGAGGAACGCCGGUGGCGAAAGCGACUCUCUGGUCUGUUACUGACGCUGAGGUGCGAAAGCUAGGGGAGCAAACGGGAUUAGAUACCCCGGUAGUCCUAGCCCUAAACGAUGGGCACUAAGUAGAGGGGUUUU
rnacentral:rRNA from 1 species